rnacentral:misc_RNA from 1 species
GUGAAUCAUCAAAUUUUUGAACGCAAAUUGCGCUUCCUGGCAUCCCGGGAAGUAUGCCUGUUUGAGGGUCAGUAUUAAUAAAAAACCGGUUGAGUUACAAAUUGUGACGUUUCCGGCGUUCGGGCUAUCUUAACAUUUUUGGUUAAGAGGCUUAAAAUUGACCUUUUUUGUGUAUUUUGAAUCGUACAGAAUUUUUUUUUUAUUGGUCUAUUCUUAAUG